GCGAACGCUGGCGGCAUGCUUAACCCAUGCAAGUCGCGCGGGUGGUUUCGGCCAUCAGCGGCGGACGGGUGAGUAUCGCGUAGGAAUGUAUCCCGAGGUGGGGGACAACCCUGGGAAACUGGGGCUAAUACCGCAUGGGGCCUGUGGGUUAAAGCCUUAGGGCGCCUUGGGAGCAGCCUGCGUCCGAUUAGGUAGUUGGUGGGGUAAAGGCCUACCAAGCCUGCGAUCGGUAGCUGGUCUGAGAGGACGAUCAGCCACACUGGGACUGAGACACGGCCCAGACUCCUACGGGAGGCAGCAGUGGGGAAUAUUGGACAAUGGGCGCAAGCCUGAUCCAGCAAUGCCGCGUGGGUGAAGAAGGUCUUCGGAUUGUAAAGCCCUUUCGGCGGGGACGAUGAUGACGGUACCCGCAGAAGAAGCCCCGGCUAACUUCGUG
rnacentral:rRNA from 1 species